rnacentral:lncRNA from 1 species
UAGACUUUAUUAAGUGACAGAAAGCGCUCAGUAAGGAGAGGGGACUCAAAAGUGGGUUGCCCUAGGGGAUUAAAAACCUCAUUUCUAGGGGUGUGUUUCUCAUUUGCAUCUUGCACAACCUUUUACUUCCUAGUUGCUUCCUGGUCCCAGUUCUUACUGCCCAGGUGCGUUCUUGUCCAUAGUUAUUCCAUCUUAAUUAUUAUGCAUAAGCACCACAGAAAGGCCCAGUGGGUAGUAGGGGUGGUGGUGGUGAAACCACAAUGCAGAUGUCAUGCUAAUGAUAUUAUAAUGAGCUUGAGUCAAGUUAAGGACAUUUAGUUGAUUUAUUACACCUGCGCCUAAGUUGGGACAGUCCCUUCUGAGCAAACAUUCUGGUAUAAGAGGAAGUUCUUAACCACAUUUCCAUCUGCUAGCUGCAUAACAGGGGCAAUGCAGGUGCAUUCCUGCAUGCAUUGUCUCUCUCAUGAAGCCCUACAUCUCCAUCGUACCACUUGCAUACAUAAAAAAGCUUGGUAGACACUUGUGCACUGUAUGAGUCCGUUUUCAUGCUCCUGAUAAAGACAUACCCCAGACUGAGAAGAAAAAGAGGUUUAAUUGGACUUACAGUUCCACAUGGCUGGAGAGGCCUCAGAGACAUGGUGGGAGGCAAAAAGCACUUCUUACAUAGCGGCAACAGGAGAAAAUGAGGAAGAAGCAAAAGCGGAAACGCUGAUAAACCCAUCAGAUCAGGGCUUCUGCAGUACUAUGCUGAACAGAAGAGGUGAAGGUAAGCAUCCUCAUCUUAUUCCUCAUCUUAUAGGAAAAGCUUUCACAUUUUCUCCAUUGAGGAUGAUGUUUAUUGUGGGCUUGUCAUACAUGAACUUUAUUAUGUUGAUGUACUUGCUUUCUAAACCUAGCUGUUGUGUGUUUUUAUCAUGAAAAGGUAUUGAAUUUUGUCAAAUACUUUUUUUGUAUUUAUUUACAUUAUCUUGUUAUUUUUAUCCUUCAUUCUAUUAAUGUGGUAUAUUGCAUUUGCUAAUUUGUAUAUGACGUUGAACCACCCUAAAGGUUCCUCAAAUAAAAACUUAGAACAAAUAAACAAAUUCAGUAAGGUUUCAGGAUACCAAAUCAAUGUACACAAAUCCACUGCAUUUCUAUUCACUAAAAGUAAAGCAUCUGAAAAGGAAAUUAAGAAAACAAUCCCAUGUACAAUGGCGUCAGAAAGAAUAAAAUGCUUGGUAAUAAACGUGACCAAGAAAGUGAAAUACUUGCUUCUUGAUAACUAUAAAACAUUGAUGAAAAAAAUUAAAGACACAAAUAAAUAAAAAACUUCCUCUGUGUUCAUGGAUUGAAUGACAAUAUUGAUCGGGUAUCCACACUAAACAAAGUAAUCUACAGAUUUAAAUUUAUUGCCAUCAAAUUCCCAAUGGCAUUUUUUAAAAUAUAAAAGCAAUUUGAAAUUCAUAUGGAACUACAAAAGAUCCAAAACACCCACAGAAAUCUUGAGACAGAGGAACAAAGCUGAAGGUAUCACACUUCCUGAUUUCAAAAUAUAUUAUAGAGCUACAGUAAUAAAACAGUAUGGUACAAGCAUAAAGACAAACAUAUAAACAAACAGAACAGAAUGGAGAGCCCAGAAAUAAACCCAUAUAUAUGGACAAGUGACCUGUGACACAGAUGCCAAGAAUACACAGUAGGGAAUGGAUACUCUCUUCAACAAAUGGCAUGAAGAAUAUCAGGUAUCAUGGAGUUUUCAGCCUUUUUGCGUGGGUUUUCCCUCAUGUUCAUGGAUUUAUC